AUGAGUCCUUGCAAAUGCAAGAUGUGCAAAGCAGGCUUAGUCAAAAAUUGUUCAAAAUUCAAGUGACAAAAAGCAUUUGCACGCAAUUCAGGAGCAACAUCUGGAAAAUUGUAUAUUGUAUCAUGCGUUGAAAAAGAAAAUAUCAUUCAUUCUCUCCCUGCACCAACCACAACGGAUAUAGCUGAAGGCAGCAAGAGAAAGAAAGAAGAUUUGUCUUCCUCUGAUGGAGAAAUAGAGCUAGCAACUGAACGAGGUGAUUUGUUCAAGCUAAAACAAAAACUGGAGCCAACGACUCCAGUUAAAAUGAAAUGAAGGUUAAUCAGCUCCUUUUUGCGAUCAGUUUUGGCUUUCAUGGAACAAAGUUGUUUUGCAGGAAAAUAAAUUUUGCACUGCAGCUUGCUUUUCACUUUUUUUCCUGUACACAAACAUUCCAAUAACCACUAUGUUCCACUAACCAUAGGCAUGAAACAAAGAUAAAUGAACUGGUAGAUAUUGCUCGAUGUGUGGCAAAUACACCUUUAGAUGAUGAUCAGUCUGUGUCCUAUUUGCUCUUUCGCCUUGAAGAUCUGAAAGUUGUGACGGAACGCAGAAAGUUGGAAGCACUUACAGUGGAAACGUUGGGAAACCGGAUAGAAAAGCUGAUAAGGUUAGCCUGCAUGGAAAACAGGUUCUUUCAUGGAAGAAUGACCAUGGUGAAGAAUUACUUUAUAUGAGCAGUAAGUGAAUAGCAAGAUGAAGCAUGGGUUACCAGUUGCAGCUCCUAAACUCAAGAUUUUAUCCAAUCUCGCCAAUAUGAACAUGAACAAUUUGACUGUUUUGGACUUUCUAGCAAGCUUAAGAAUGUACCUGUACAACUUUGUUCCACAUAUACAUCUAUAUAUAUGAUGUACUUUAUGUUAAUAUUAAACACAUUAUGCCAA